UACCAGAGCAAAAAUAUAAAGUCUGGAAGAGGAGACAAUUACUCAGAUUCACAGAUAUCAAUAUAAGGAACCAAGGAGCAUGGAAAAUCAGGUUAUGUUUAAACACAGCUACAGAACUGAACAAGCAUGAUCAGAGAUUGUAAACACAAUGGUACAUGGCCCAGGAAGAGUUCAGUAACAGCCUUGGGCUAAAGCGCCUCUCCUCUCUCCUUGAGCCAAGAGCACAUGACCAAGUGACUAGUGGGA